AAACGCGAUACACUGACAGAUACAUGGAAGGCCUCACACGCCUCGCCGUCCUUUACCUCUGCCCCCUCGUACGACAGCGCCAUGGAUGUGGCCGGACCCCCACCUCGUCGUCCUGCAUCUAUGGCUACAUGCCCUCCCCCAUAGCAUUCUUGUCAUGUGCAGUGCAGCCCGUGCCUACCAAUUCGAAUCUGAAUCUCACUGCUUUCCUUCUUUUUCCUCAAGCGUUUUCACUCUUCAAGGACCGGUUCACUCCAUUGAAGAUCUGAUUGGUGAUUUCAUGAUAGAUGGAGGCCGAAAUCGUUUUGUUGAUUUGCUCCAGGAUGGAGUCAAGCUCUUCUCGGUCACUUCCGCACGGCAGCCGGCAGGUGGCACUGCGAGCAGGGGCGGGCUGCGGUCGAGUAGGGAGUCAAGCGGAGGUAGUCAAGAGGCAGCGGCGCUAGGAUAUGUCGCAGGAUCCGCCGCCAUUAACGGAUGUUGGCUAUCGGUAUGGAUCAGUUGUCCCCCGACGAGGGGCGCCUCCGUGCCCGCCGUCGCAGCCAUGUCCGCAUAGACCACGACCGCCGGAUCCUUUUUAUACUUCUUUUUUCUUCUGCACCUCGUAUUUAAAUUGCACAGGAUGCUGACAGAUAUUCCAAUGCGGUCUGUGUUGCAUUAUCUGGAAGCUCGUGUUAAGAUUCUGCUCCUUCUUUUAAGCAAGAAUUUGUGUAGGGUUUAAAAAAAUUGCUCCGCUCGCCGAUGCAUGUUUUUGUUCAUUUGGGUGCUGAAUUUGUUUUUUGUUUUUACCUAAAGUUUGUCAGGAAAAUAGGCUGUCGUAUCUUCCAUGAUUGUACAUCUCGAAGAUCUUCAUUUUUGCUGGCGUUCUUGGAUGAAGGGGUUUGAGCAGAGAAUGCUAGUGCAGAUGGAUUACUUUUUAUGGGAGCCAACCAACAUAUCAUUGCAUCUUUGGCUUCCAACUCACAACUGGUUCAGCUGCUGAUACUGCAAGUCCUGCCUGAAGUUCAGAGAGGUUGUCAGAGGAAGAGAAUUGCUCAAAUAGCUGGACAAUGAUAACUUGCCAUUGAAGAACUGAGUUUGCUCUACCAAAGAAUGCUGCUGAUCUGUUUAAUAGAUAAUCCUGGCAAGCAUCAUGAAGACAACACUACAAAUCUAGAACAACACCUGGUCGAUAGAAGCUUUUGCUACUGUUGGAUUAGCAAUUGCCGCGGCCGCAUCGUUUUCCUCGACACUAACUUCCCAAGGUCUCGGGAGAAGAGGCUUCAGUGAUGGCAUUGGAUCGAGCACCGGAGCCAGGAUUCUGCUGGAAAAAGCACCGUCAGAAUGCAAUAUUUCGGAAGAUCAAGAGUUGACGGAAAUUAUACCAAAAAUCCUAUUUUUCCAGAUGACGAAGUGAGCCAGAAGGGGGAGCUGAGGGGACCCGAGGUGGGCCCACCCCAUAGGCCGGCGCGGCCCAAGGGCUGGCCGCGCCGCCCUGUGAGGAGGGGGGCCCACAGCCCCUCUCGCCUCCUUUUCUUCGCGAACUCCUUCGUCCCGAAGACCUAAGCUCCAGAGGGUACCUCGCGAAGAGUUACAGCCGCCUCUGCGAGGUGGAGAACACCAGAGAGAAAAGAGCUCUCCGGCGGGCUGAGAUCCGCCGGGGAAAUUCCCUCCGGGAGGGGGAAAUCGACGCCAUCGUCACCGCCGUAGCAAUUUGGGUUUGAUCUUGAUUGUUUGAUAGGGGAAACUCUUCCGGUAUUGAUUUCUACUUGUUAUUGAUGCUAUUGAGUGAAACCGUUGAACCAAGGUUUAUGUUUAGAUUGUUAUUCAUCAUCAUAUCACCUCUGAUCAUGUUCCA